rnacentral:rRNA from 1 species
UGGGGAAUAUUGCACAAUGGGCGCAAGCCUGAUGCAGCCAUGCCGCGUGUGUGAAGAAGGCCUUCGGGUUGUAAAGCACUUCAGCGAGGAGGAAGGUGGUGAACUUAAUACGUUCAUCAAUUGACGUUACUCGCAGAAGAAGCACCGGCUAACUCCGUGCCAGCAGCCGCGGUAAUACGGAGGGUGCAAGCGUUAAUCGGAAUUACUGGGCGUAAAGCGCACGCAGGCGGUUUGUUAAGUCAGAUGUGAAAUCCCCGGGCUCAACCUGGGAACUGCAUUUGAAAACUGGCAAGCUAGAGUCUCGUAGAGGGGGGUAGAAUUCCAGGUGUAGCGGUGAAAUGCGUAGAGAUCUGGAGGAAUACCGGUGGCGAAGGCGGCCCCCUGGACGAAGACUGACGCUCAGGUGCGAAAAGCGUGGGGAGCAAAACAGGAUUAGAUACCCUGGUAGUCCACGCUGUAAACGAUGUCGAUUUUGGAGGUUGUGCCCUUGAGGCGUGGCUUCCGGAGCUAACGCGUUAAAUCGACCGCCUGGGGAGUACGGCCGCAAGGUUAAAACUC